GGACAUUUGGUAUGCAACACCCGUGAAAGGGUGGGUCAACCCUGGGCUGAGAACCAUUGCCCUAGUGUCUUAACCUAAAGCCAACUCAGAAUUCAACCCAUCCACAUGGAGAAUGACAAGACUGCAGCCAGCGGCCUCUAGUGGCCAUGACGGCUGAGUUCCACAUCAGCUACGGACCAGCUGGCUAUCUUGCUACAGAGGAAACUCAGAUCCACUCCAACACAGGCACACACAAGGUAAGGGACAGGAAAGACAUGGCUCUCAUGACACCAACAAGUUAAGUCCUUAGAUGUGACACAGCUGUCCUAAAACAUUCUCUUUUGAAUGUGUAUUUAUUAAGUUCUAAAACUGUGAAUGACUUAUUUCAAAAAUUCAAACUAAAGGAAAACCAGGAAGGUAGGAAUUUGGUGGGUUGAGGUUCUGACAGUCAAGUGUUGGCUUCACCUGGGCCGCCACUUUAUGUCUUUUACGCCAUGAAAAUGUCUUUUCAAAGCCGUGUUGUCAGCCCACGGGGAGUUCAGACAGGAGUCAUCGUCAUUCUCUUCCAGUUUCUGGAAAUAAACGCGCCUUACUCAGGACAACACUUCAGAGGUAGUUCAUAUAGACUGAGGGAAGGACCCGGGUCACUUCCUGCCACCCCAGCACGCCCCUGCCAGUAGUGGGACCCCCACGGUCUAACACUGGAGACAGCCUUGGAGAGCUGGAAGGCCUUCCCCAGCACUGUGUGGAUGGAUGGUAGAGGGCCCGGCCCGUGGGGGAGGCACGGGAUGCACGGUGUGCCCAGCUCCACUGCCCCUGCCACCCAAUGGCUACCUUGAGCUCCUCCUGUCUUCUGUGGUAGAACAGCAUCAGCUGCUUGUGUUCUUCACUGCUGAUGACAGGCUCCCGGGCUGGGGCACCCUGCCCUCUCUGCAAAGGCAAGGGCAGAGUCAACAGGGCGCCAAGACAUUCUCUUUGCAGGGACAUCAGAGAGUAACAGGUUUAUUCUAUAGCUGUCUCUGCUAACAGCUAAGAUGAUGGGCUGCUAAGCCACUGUGGGGUCGGGCAUGGGCAUGGAUAUGGCUGGCGCCCUGGAUUUGUAGUGGACACCAUCUAUAUCAUGGUCCAGCACAGACAGGGUGAUACUCAGAGUCAUAACUUAGGAAACAGAAAUCUCCAAGCCUUGUUCCCCAAAGUACGCAGUAAUGGUUCAGGAGUGUGCCCUAGACACCUUGGGUGAAUGGCUCCCCUUGCCUCCCACCCUUUUCUGCACACAACAGCAGCAGCCUGAAAAGCCCUAUAACCCCGGUGGGCUGCAUUGUCAGUAUGAGGACAUUUCUGUGUGUAGACCUGCUUUUCAGGUCGAAACAACAUAGAAAGGAAAUUUCUACUUUAAACUGGGCUAAAGUCCACACGGGGUCAGAGGACACAGGGUAAGGUCCAUGCGGGGUCAGAGGACACAGGGUAAGGUCCACGCGGGGUCAGAGGACACAGGGUAAGGUCCACGCGGGGUCAGAGGACACAGGGUAAGGUCCACGCGGGGUCAGAGGGACCCACAGUACUGACAUGGGAAGCAGAGGUGCUCACCUGCUGGAUCUUGACGAUGAUUUUGGUUUUCUCAUUUUUCCCCACAUAGUCAGAAAGCUUCUUUGUUCUUCUCAGCUCCUUGGCGGCCCACCACAGCUGUGCCUCCGACUCCUGGAUGACUUCGAGGGCUGCCUGUGGUCAGUUAUACAACACAGGAAGGGGCUUGAGGGGAAAGCCAUGCUCGUCCUACCCCAGCACCCGGAGCCUGGCUGCAGGCCCUUCACCCUGCUCUCCCCACCCUGCCCCACAUACCUGAGUUCCUGACAAAUCUUCUUUAUUUUCAAAUUCCAUCCGGAUAGGAUCGUAUGGUGGCAGCCCCAUGGGAUAAACGAUCAUGACCGCACCUCGAAGCUGGUCCAAGGCAUCUUUCACCAUCUCCAUGGUAACAAAGACUCCAGCUUCUACUUGUUUCUGAAAGUGCAUUGGGCGCCACUAUUGAGUCAAUAUCCUCCUGGCAGGUUACCCCAUGAGGACCUUGGCGGCCCUGCCAGCACAGCCACAGAAGGAACCAAAGAGCUGCUGCUUUCAGGGUGACUACCGUCCACUUCAGAACUGAGCUGAGGACACUGUGGCCCGGGCCAGACUGUGAGUGGCACCAGAGAGCCUGCAGUACUCAAGGCUGGGAGGAGGCAGUGAAGAGGCAGAGAGAGGCAGCUUCAGGGCAGGUGCAGCCCUGGGCAGCAGGUGGGAGAGGAAGGGGCAGCCAGAGCCUCAGUGUCAGGCAAAGGGGUGACAAUGUCCUAGGUAGAGAGAAUAUACUGGAGCUUGUCUCGCAAUGAGCACGCUGUGGACUGAGUUGGAGAGGCAUCAGCCAGAGGCUCUCAAGAGAACAGAGAGGGGUACAUGUAAAGAAUAGAGCUAAGGUUGGUCCCUGGUUCCUAGGACCCGGCAGAAGCCCUUUGGAUCACUGGUGCUGGGGAUGUGCUUUGUGACUUUGUAUGUGUACACAGCGCUUUGCCCACAUGCAUGUGUGUGCACCACGUGUGUGCUUGGUGCUUAUAAAGGAGGUCACU
rnacentral:lncRNA from 1 species